AGUGAACGCUGGCGGUAGGCCUAACACAUGCAAGUCGAACGGCAGCACAGUAAGAGCUUGCUCUUACGGGUGGCGAGUGGCGGACGGGUGUGGAAUACAUCGGAAUCUACUUUUUCGUGGGGGAUAACGUAGGGAAACUUACGCUAAUACCGCAUUCGACCUACGGGUGAAAGCAGGGGAUCUUCGGACCUUGCGCGAUUGAAUGCGCCGAUGUCGGAUUAGCUAGUUGGCGGGGUAAAGGCCCACCAAGGCGACGAUCCGUAGCUGGUCUGAGAGGAUGAUCAGCCACACUGGAACUGAGACACGGUCCAGACUCCUACGGGAGGCAGCAGUGGGGAAUAUUGGACAAUGGGCGCAAGCCUGAUCCAGCCAUACCGCGUGGGUGAAGAAGGCCUUCGGGUUGUAAAGCCCUUUUGUUGGGAAAGAAAAGCAGCAGGUUAAUACCCCGCUGUUCUGACGGUACCCAAAGAAUAAGCACCGGCUAACUUCGUG
rnacentral:rRNA from 1 species